rnacentral:rRNA from 1 species
AUGCAUGAGGAGUAUGAGGCUGAAGUCCAAGAGCGUCGACAACAAGAGCAUGCUGUCAGAGAUGGAUCCCGGCAGCUACAUGACCUUCGACACCAGCUACUGCCGCCAUGUCGCCAAGCGCAGGGGCUCUUCCGCUCCGACGCCGCGCUCCUCACCGACGCGGCCAUCAAGGAAUACGUCCAACGCGUCGCUACCGGCAAAUUCGAGGACGCGUUCUUCAGGGAUUUCAGCGAGUCCAUGAUCAAGAUGGCCAACGUCGGCAUGCUCACCGGCAGCGACGGAGAAAUCAGGAAGAAAUGCUACGUCCUCAACUAG